UACGGAGGGGGCUAGCGUUGUUCGGAAUUACUGGGCGUAAAGCGCACGUAGGCGGCUUUGUAAGUUAGAGGUGAAAGCCCGGAGCUCAACUCCGGAACUGCCUUUAAGACUGCAUCGCUUGAACAUCGGAGAGGUAAGUGGAAUUCCGAGUGUAGAGGUGAAAUUCGUAGAUAUUCGGAAGAACACCAGUGGCGAAGGCGACUUACUGGACGAUUGUUGACGCUGAGGUGCGAAAGCGUGGGGAGCAAACAGGAUUAGAAACCCGUGUAGUCC
rnacentral:rRNA from 1 species